rnacentral:pre_miRNA from 1 species
UAAAUACUCCCUCCGUCCCAAAAUAACUGUCUCAAGCUUAGUACAACUUUAUACUAAAGCUAGUACAAAGUUGAGACAGUUAUUUUGGGACGGAGGGAGUACUAC